CGAAGUAAAGGAAGGACGAGGAUCAUUAUUGGGCCAGCGUUUGCUCGCUGGCGUGAACUGAAGGAGGAGGAGGGCUUCGUGACCGAUGCGGACUUGGCCGUCAUGCUUUUGGACUACUACGAAAGCAGAGGUCCAGCAACUUCCACACCAUAUAAAGGAGAGGGCACAUCAAAACCUCCUGGACCACCAGUAUCGAGUGUUACAGACUCUUCGGAUCAUGACAGGGGGAGAGAAAUGGUCCUUUCCGGUGUAGAGGAGUUGAUCACAGAAAGUCAAAAAGUUGAUGUGCUUGAAUCAAG